AUUGAACGCUGGCGGCAUGCUCUACACAUGCAAGUCGAACGGUAACAGGGAGCUUGCUCCGCUGACGAGUGGCGAACGGGUGAGUAAUAUAUCGGAACGUACCCAAGAGUGGGGGAUAACGUAGCGAAAGUUACGCUAAUACCGCAUACGAUCCAAGGAUGAAAGUGGGGGACCGCAAGGCCUCAUGCUCCUGGAGCGGCCGAUAUCUGAUUAGCUAGUUGGUGAGGUAAAGGCUCACCAAGGCAACGAUCAGUAGCUGGUCUGAGAGGACGACCAGCCACACUGGGACUGAGACACGGCCCAGACUCCUACGGGAGGCAGCAGUGGGGAAUUUUGGACAAUGGGGGCAACCCUGAUCCAGCAAUGCCGCGUGAGUGAAGAAGGCCUUCGGGUUGUAAAGCUCUUUUGUCAGGGAAGAAACGGUUUCGGCUAAUAUCCGGAGCUAAUGACGGUACCUGAAGAAUAAGCACCGGCUAACUACGUGCCAGCAGCCGCCGCAGUAA
rnacentral:rRNA from 1 species